rnacentral:lncRNA from 1 species
GUGAGGUUUGUAUAAGGGGCCAUUUUAUACUAUACAGGUAUGGUGCACCUUUCAUUUUGCAAUAAGAUGCAGUUUCGGUGUUGGAAAUGUUUCGAUGAAUUAUAAACCUAUGUCCAACAUUAAUUUUAAAAUUGUGCAGAUCGAGCAAAUCAUAUACACUUGAAAAGCUUGAAAAUAGACAGUCCAGAAAACUUGUUACAAAAUGCAUUAUUUUUAGAACUUGCAAUUCUGCUUUUUAUUUAUAUCCAUACAUCUUGAGGUGUGAAAAUGGAUGGGAAGUUUUUCAAUUUCAAAACACUCUUUUCUACUAGAUUUUUUAGGUACACCUUACUUCUAUAGAAUGAAGUUGCAACCCUAUAUAAACUCAUUAAUAUUACCAGCUCUAAUAAUGAAAAUAG